rnacentral:rRNA from 1 species
GAGUUUGAUCGUGGCUCAGGAUGAACGCUGGCGGCGUGCCUAAUACAUGCAAGUCGAGCGAACGGACGAGAAGCUUGCUUCUCUGAUGUUAGCGGCGGACGGGUGAGUAACACGUGGAUAACCUACCUAUAAGACUGGGAUAACUUCGGGAAACCGGAGCUAAUACCGGAUAAUAUUUUGAACCGCAUGGUUCAAAAGUGAAAGACGGUCUUGCUGCCACUUAUAGAUGGAUCCGCGCUGCAUUAGCUAGUUGGUAAGGUAACGGCUUACCAAGGCAACGAUGCAUAGCCGACCUGAGAGGGUGAUCGGCCACACUGGAACUGAGACACGGUCCAGACUCCUACGGGAGGCAGCAGUAGGGAAUCUUCCGCAAUGGGCGAAAGCCUGACGGAGCAACGCCGCGUGAGUGAUGAAGGUCUUCGGAUCGUAAAACUCUGUUAUUAGGGAAGAACAUAUGUGUAAGUAACUGUGCACAUCUUGACGGUACCUAAUCAGAAAGCCACGGCUAACUACGUCG